GAGGGUAUAGCUCAGUAGUAGAGUGCAUGUUUAGCAUGCAUGAGGCCCUGGGUUCAAUCCCCCAACCUCC
rnacentral:tRNA from 1 species